rnacentral:lncRNA from 1 species
GAUUUUUUCAUUCUUAAAGCCCCCGGUAGCCAAGGGAACGUGCUCCUUUUUAUGCCAGCUGUCCUGGUCGCAUUGUUUCUUUUAAAAGAUUUAUUGCACCGCUGCUCCCUGCUCCUCUCGCUAUUUCCACUAGAGGAUUUGCAGACGUGGGUGAGUGCUGCAGAACUGCCUGCACCUGUUCCUCCGAGUCCUCCUUCUCCUCCGCAUCUUGCCCUUAUGAGAGGCUCUCCUGCGGGAAUUCCUCUCCCAGGCUCGUGUUUCACUUCCAAGCCGUACCUUUGGAGCCGGGACCGUGCUCCGGAGUCUUGGCACUGCAGAAGCGAGAGGUUUCUCAGGAAUGUCCUCCGAGGCUCUGCGAUCUGCUUCAACUGUUGCAGCCACGUUUAGAUGUGUGGAUAUACAUACACGGAGGACAUUUCUGACAUCCCACCGCAAUGGCAAGCGAUCCCUGCUCGAUUCGAGGGUGACCUCUCCGCGCAGCCGGCGGUGUCCCCAGCCCCCCUGCCCGUGCCGUUCCCUGCUCCAGCUGCUGAGCUCCUCGCAUGUCCCUGCUUUGGGACACUGCCUCGGCUCCGUUUGGAGGGGAUGCUGAGCCCUGCAGGUCUCAUCAGCGGACCAAAGCACACAGAAACCUGCCUGGGAUGUCCCCAAACUGGAGGGGGGAGAAGCCCACGGCAGCACACAGCCCGGCUCCUGUCAGCAUUGUGUCAGCACCCGCCAGCAGCAGCGGUGUCAGGCAGCACAGCCAGACGACGUUGCAAGGGACAAGUGCUUUCCAUUACGCGCUGGAACAAGCUCUCGCUUGCUGCCUGGCAGCUCCUGGGACACAAAGCCCACACGGCCCCGGGGCCCGGUGCUGGCUGCCGCACACAGCUGGGACACCCCGGCAUCCGAGCAAGUGUCACCAGGCACAGAAACGUCCUGUGCAUCCUGACAGCCCCAGGAGAAGCACGAUAUUCAAUGGCAACAAAUCCCCAGGGUGGGAUUUGCUCCCUGCUGCUGUCCCAUGCGAGGUUAAACAAAAAAAGGAGAAUAAAAAUGACCGCGGGAGGAGGGCACAAGCCCCUUCCUUGGCCCCUCAGAGAGAAAGCUCCCACCAGGAUUAAAUUUUCCAUGGAGGGGGGACGUGCACGUGGCCCCGCGGCCGCCCCGGCUUCGGUUUCAGCCACCGGGCUGCCCCCCCGCCUCCUCAGCUGA